rnacentral:rRNA from 1 species
AGACGAGGAGCUUGCUCCUCUGACGUUAGCGGCGGACGGGUGAGUAACACGUGGAUAACCUACCUAUAAGACUGGGAUAACUUCGGGAAACCGGAGCUAAUACCGGAUAACAUGUUGAACCGCAUGGUUCAACAGUGAAAGACGGUCUUGCUGUCACUUAUAGAUGGAUCCGCGCCGCAUUAGCUAGUUGGUAAGGUAACGGCUUACCAAGGCAACGAUGCGUAGCCGACCUGAGAGGGUGAUCGGCCACACUGGAACUGAGACACGGUCCAGACUCCUACGGGAGGCAGCAGUAGGGAAUCUUCCGCAAUGGGCGAAAGCCUGACGGAGCAACGCCGCGUGAGUGAAGAAGGUCUUCGGAUCGUAAAACUCUGUUAUUAGGGAAGAACAAAUGUGUAAGUAACUAUGCACGUCUUGACGGUACCUAAUCAGAAAGCCAC